rnacentral:snRNA from 1 species
UCGCUCAGGUCUGCCAGCAUCGACGAAUAUGCGUUUCGCCUUUUACUAAACGCAUCCGUGCUGGGGGACACUUACGAUGAGUCUAAAUGGCAAUUUUUGUGGCUCCUUAUAGGGGCU